ensembl:lncRNA
GCUAGCCCAACUUCAGUAACCCUACAAACGUCACUGCUGUUUAGUUUCCUGUCUUCAUUUAUGUUGGAAGUGAUAGCAGAGCUGUACGUUUUAAUUUUUUCAGAAAUCUCUCAGUCAGAACAUGCAAUAUCAUGCUUAGGUAACUAGCGAAACUAGCGAGCUAACUUCCUGCUAGCUUCUAACUUCGUUAAGUGUAAUAAAUUCUGUUUUCAUGGAUGCCUGGAUGUUAAACUUCAUAGUUACACCUGGUAAAGCAGCAAUGCUGAUCGUUUUAUUAAAGAUGAAAGAAUUUAGACAGUUUUUAACUCUCGGUGAUGUUGUUCGUUUGACUUUGGGACAUGAAGGGGACGGAAUUUAUGACCCAGAUUACUCCCAGAUUAUAGGAGCGCGUUAGUCCGACAAAUACGGCAAUAAUGACGGGCUGCUUGCAUGUUCUACAAAAAAAUGUGUGGACAAAUUCCAGUUCCACAUCACUGAAGUGGCACCAUUUUUACAAACUAAUUCUGGUUCAUCCGUUUCACUCAAUGAUCCGCUUUCUCCCUUCUCAUUCUCUGUUGCCGCCAUGCUUUUUCGGCCAUGUGCGUAUGAAAACAAAGGCACUGUGCAUGCGUGUUUUAUCCAUAUUCUAUCGUGAUAUUACAUUUUCUUAUCGUUGCCUAACAUUGUACCGGUAUUACCAUGAACGGUAUAAUAUGGCCCAGCCCUAUUGCCAUCUGUCCUUAAUUGCAUCCCAGCCCCAUAUUUCUGCAAUUUCCAUCUCAACCCACUUAAAGAGUCCAUUCUCGGCCCACUUAUGAAAAUCCUUUGUUGUAGCCCGUCUUGUAUACCAUAAUUUAACUUUAAUCAAAGAUAUCAAAUUCACUACUAGCAACAGAUAUUCUUUCUUUACAUGUAUUCAUGUCAAAAAAUCUUCAUAAGUAAAUAAGGUAAGGCAAGCAAAUAGUCUUUUCAGUAGGUUUCAAAGGGAUCUAACGAACAGGCAAUCCCACGAUCUUAUCUUCAGCCAAAGGUGAGUAAUUAAAAAAAUUCAGAGGAAUAGGAAGUCAAAAUCUGAGAAACACUUGACAUUUAUGAAUAUAUCUUUGAGACACUAAGGUGUACAAGUUGCUGUAAUAAAGCACGUCCAACUUUAAAGGGAUAUGUGGAAUACUUUUACCGCCAUUCUCUAUAGAUUGAUAAAGAGUUUCCUGUUUAAUAUAUUCAUUACCACUCUAAAACAAACUAAACAUUGACCUUGUCAUUUCUUUUCUAACUAAUUCAUGCAUGGCGAAUAUGCAAGCUGGUGUAGCAGGAUAGGAAGUAUAUCCAUUCUCGUUGCCAGUAUUUUGCUACAAAAAAUUGUGACUGGUUGCAGUUACACUGCUAAUAAAUCCAGCUAGUAAAACGUUCGUUGUUUUUCCACAUGUUUAGGGGGGUGCACCGUUCCUGGAGAUACUGCAAUACCAGGUCGAUGCGUGGAGUGGACGGAGCAAGCCCCUAUUCCAUCUCCCUGUUCCAAAAAUCAAUUUAAUAUAUGGUCCCCGGGUAGGGGACGUAUCAGAUAUUAAACUGAUAAGAACAGAUACUACACUUGAUCUUAGCCAAAAGGCCGAGAAGCGAUACCGGGAAUAUGUCGGAGCAGACGGAGUCACCCCCCGCACAGUCUCCCUCACUGACGUUUUCCUUGCAGAACACCCUCUACAUGACAGCAGCAGAUACCAGUCAAAGUCUGACAACAUCCUACCGCUAACAUGCGACAAAGCGCGCCUGGUGUGAGGAAGAAGUCAUUAUCACGAAAAUGGCGACUGUGGUUGAGACCUCCUCACCUAGGGUUGCCAACUCCCUGAAAAAUAAAUAAGGGACACCUCGUGGCCAGGGCCGGGCAACCCAGUUGUCUUCACCCUUCCCAGUGUGGUGAAUUUUCUAGCUCUUUUUUUGUGUGUGAAAUUAUUUUUUUUAACCAUUUGACUUUAAGUUGAUUUAAGUAGAUGCAUAUUCUAUUCUUUGUGAUAUGAACACAUGGGAAACAAAUGAUCAUUUAGCCAUUUAUCUUUAGCUCAAAAUGACAACAUUAACACAGUAAAACAGGUCUCUUUCUUAAACAGAAGCCUGUCAUGCUUAACUUUUGAGAAUAAAAGUAAAUCUUUCUUUAAAAGCACUCUGUCCUGCUUAACUUAAAAUAAUAGAAAACAAUAGAAAGAAAAAUAUUCUUGUAACUGUGCACAUUUAGUGCAUUUAGUACAAUUGGCUUCAGUUGAGGUAUUAUUUCAGCUUUUCUAAUGCUAAUCAGCUGCUCCUGUUUGUAAACCCGCUUGUUCCCAUGAUUACGCAUCAUAACUCAUCAUCAUUAUUCAUCUAUGUAUUACUUUUAUGUAUUAGUCAUCUAUUUGUUGUAAUCAUCUAUCCUUGCAGUUGUUUAUUACACAAAAUAAAUUAUAUUAUCAC